CGCUCUCUCUCUCUCUCUCUGUGUGUUUCAUUUCAUUUUUGUGUGUCCCCUCCCUAAAAUCUCUCUCUAAAUCUGUGUAGUUGGAAAACAAAACGAAAAAGCCAAGAAAGCCGACACUCAUCUCUAUUGUAAAUCUUCAAUUUUUGGUCACACUGCCUAGUUUUCUUCUCUACACUUCAUUUUUUUUAGUGCAGAAGAAGAAGUUGCUUUGAAAAUCAGCACUUGAGCUGCUCUGACAAUGUCCCCUCUUGUUAGUAAUGAGGGGAUUAUGAGUUGGAUUUGGCUAGAUCUGAACCACCCUUUAUCUUCUGUUCAUGGGAUCAACAACAUGAAGAUAGGAGCAGAUUUGAUUUGAAUGUCUCAAGAGAAAGCUGCUAUCUUUUUCUUAUUUUUAGGUUUUCAUUUCUCUCUGCUGUUACAUUUGUGCCAUGAAUACCAAACGCGCCUACAAGCUGCAGGAAUUUGUGGCACAUUCUUCCAGUGUUAAUUGCCUCAAAAUUGGGAGGAAAUCGUCGAGAGUUCUUCUUACUGGAGGAGAAGAUCACAAGGUCAAUCUUUGGGCUAUUGGGAAGCCCAAUGCUAUACUGAGUUUAUCUGGACAUACUAGUGGAAUUGAUUCAGUAAGUUUUGAUUCUUCAGAAGUCUUAGUAGCUGCUGGAGCUGCAAGUGGCACAAUCAAGCUUUGGGAUUUAGAGGAGGCAAAGAUUGUUCGUACGCUGACUGGUCAUAGAUCCAACUGUAUAUCUGUGGACUUUCAUCCUUUUGGGGAGUUCUUUGCAUCUGGUUCGCUGGACACAAAUCUUAAGAUAUGGGAUAUCAGAAAAAAGGGUUGUAUUCAUACAUACAAGGGCCACACUCGAGGGGUCAAUGCAAUCAGAUUUACCCCAGAUGGCCGUUGGGUUGUAUCUGGUGGAGAAGACAACACCGUCAAGCUGUGGGAUUUGACUGCUGGAAAGCUAUUGCAUGAUUUCAAGUGUCAUGAAGGGCAGAUUCAGUGCAUAGAUUUUCAUCCCCAUGAGUUUCUACUGGCGACAGGUUCUGCUGAUAGGACUGUCAAAUUUUGGGACCUUGAAACCUUUGAACUAAUUGGUUCAGCAGGGCCUGAGACUACUGGAGUGCGUUGUUUGGCCUUUAAUCCUGAUGGGAGGACUCUACUCUGCGGAUUGCAUGAAAAUCUGAAAGUUUUCUCCUGGGAACCAAUAAGAUGCCAUGAUGCUGUGGAUGUGGGAUGGUCUAGAUUGUCUGAUCUCAAUGUUCAUGAAGGAAAGCUUCUUGGCUGCUCAUAUAAUCAAAGUUGUGUUGGAGUAUGGGUUGUAGACAUCUCGCGUAUUGAACCAUAUGCACCUGGAAAUGUUAAUCGAUUCAAUGGUUAUUCAGAAUCUAAGUCAGGUGUAAGUGGGAAUCAAUCAAUAUUGCUUGAAUCUACAGCAAAGACCAGUUUGGGAAGGUUAUCUGUUUCACAAAAUUCAGAAUCUUUAGUAAAGGAAACAAAAUCUCUUGCAAGGUUGUCAGUAUCUCAAAAUUCUGAUCCUGUUAAGGAGUCAACUAAGGAGUCAAAGGUUUUGGCAUCCACAGGAAGUGUACCCAGUACUCCACAAAGGGUCAGCUUGAACUCUGGUGUGAAGACAACCAUGGCUGGCCCGAUAACAGUUAAUGCAGCAGCUCCAAAAAGGAAUUCUACAAAGGCCCAAUUGGCAGUUAAUGCACCAAUGUUCAACAAGGCAGAUGUCAUACCCGUAAUUGUCCCUAGAACUAGUAUGAGGCCAGAACCAGUAACUGAAUCUAGAAAAGAAAUUGGAAUUGCUGGAAGAACAAUGCCAUUUUCUUUGCAGUCAAAGACGAGUGAUUACAGAAAAUUUCAAAGUAGCAGAGAUGACAUGGACCAACCUGCCAUUUCUAUCCCUUCCGAGUCUCCAAGUUGCAAGACUACAGAAUUGAGCAGUAUUGCAGAUAGGAAUACUUCUCCUACAGUUAAAGGCUCACUUCAUGGAAUCUCAACUGCAGAGAGGAAUAUUAAAGAUGAUAGACCUAUUGGAUCAGGAAAACUGGAUUCAAAUUUGAUGACAGAGCCUCCUAUUAGAUACCAGGAAGAAAAUUAUGAUUCUCGGGGGCAUAAAGUAAGCAGAGAUGCAACCUUGACUGAAAGUCAGAAAGGAGGAAGAAUGCAUUCACUGGUCAUAAAUUGGGGAAAAAGGGGGAGAUCUAAUUACGAGGGACCAACUUUUGGGUGUUUCCCUGGGACGACAUCUGCAGUCAACAUGCAUCCUUUCAAUACGAUUAAACCGAAAGGGUGCUCCCCAUCUACUGAAAAAGAAACAGUUUCUGCUAGUGAUGAGGAUGCUAUUGCAGAUGCAAUGGAACAGCAUGAUCAGUUUAUCAGCUCCAUGCAGUCUCGUUUAGCAAAGUUACAGGUUGUAUAUAGAUACUGGGAGAGAAAUGAUAUUAAGGGAGCCAUUGGUGCAAUGGAGAAGAUGGCUGAUCAUGGUGUCCUUGCUGAUUACAUCAGCAUUGUGACUGAGAAAACUGACAUUGUGACAUUGGAUCUUUGUACUGGUCUUCUGCCACUUCUCACUGGUCUUCUUGAAAGUGACCUGGAUAGGCAUUUGAGCGUCUCUCUGGACAUGCUGCUUAAGCUGGUCAGAACAUUUGGUUCAAUGAUCUAUUCAACUAUCUCGGCAUCAACAUCUGUUGGUGUAGAUAUUGAAGCAGAACAAAGGUUGGAACGUUGCAAUAUCUGCUUUGUAGAACUUGAAAAAGUCAAGGGUUGUUUGCCUAACCUCGCGAGAAGAGGGGGCUCAGUUGCAAAGUCCACACAGGAGCUGAAUCUAGCUCUUCAAGAAGUUUCAUGAGUGAACAAGUUACGAGUGGAAAUGCUGCUUGUUUUUAAGCCUAACAUGGGAUUUCAUUAAUAUGUUGUUCUGAAAGAGGAGCAAGUUUGUGUACUUUAGGAAUUAUAACAGCUAUUCAUGCAUCAUCUGAUACUUGAAGCUUUUCUGUUGUCUGAUCUUAGCCCUCUUAUGUAUAUUCAUGCUUAAAUGGAGGGACUAACUAGUAGCUGAUUCUACCAUAUUAAUUGUAACCUGAAGACUAAUGGACGUGUCCUACAUGCUACUGGUUGCUGCACAGUUUUGGCGAAUACCAAUAUGUACCAUCUCAGUGGAAGAGUAAGGCUCUUAGCCACUUCAUAUUAAUCUGAUAAUCUCUACCCUCUAUGUGGCACAUGGCAUUGUAACUUUCGGCAUUUAUCUGUUCAUUAUAAAUAUUAUUUUUAUUGUUCUUUUACAUAUACGGAAUGUCAAGCGGAGCGUUUUUGUACUGGGCCUGAGCUGAUAUGUUGUAAAAUUUUGAAGGUGAUUUGGUUGGUGUGCAUGUGUGGAGUAUGGUGUGGCUUCUCUUACGUAAAGGAGUACUAUGAUUUGACGGAAUGAGUAUAUAAACGUUGACAUCAUAGAAGAAAAAGGGUUAAAAAGUGGGAUUUUUGUACUUUUGGCAAUGGAUCUGCAUAUCAAGGUCCCUUACAAGUGGGAUUUUGGUACUCAUGGGGAUGGACUUGCAAUAUAGAUCCUUCUGAGAUUGUUCCAUGGCCUUUUCUAAGUGUUCUAGUAGGUACGAGGUUGCCAUACCAAAAACUGGCGUUGAUUUUUGUUGUGUGCAUCGGGUUUAGGAGUGCUGGGCUAUGACUAUGAUUGUUGUUUCAAAUUCUUCCUCAAAUUUUAAGUACUGUAUGGAUUCAAACUAAUCCGUCGUAGUCUCAUCCCAAUUUUUAAAGCUUUUCAAUUUGGAC
rnacentral:misc_RNA from 1 species